GGAGCGCAGGAAGCUCAGGCAGAGCCCCACACGUUGGGCAGGCACCUCUGUGGAGUUUCCUCGUGAGUUAACGGUAGAUCAUAACGAAGGCCGCCUCACCUAUCAAAGGAGCGAUUGUGAGAUGUUACUCGACUGCCUUGGAUCUCUCUUGUCAGAUGCCAGAUCACGGAAAAUCUAAACAGAGCUUCCAGCCUUGUUCCCUUGAUGAGGAGAUACAUGGGAGUGAGGAACUUGGUUUUGUAACUGACCACUGUCUUCAGUCACCAUAAACCCCAUUUAAACAAUAGAUCAAAGACUUCAGCAGAACUGACAGCAACCACAGCAAAGACGCUGCAUUCUCCUUUGACUGAUUCGGCCAGAAGGAAAAGGAGAACCUGCAUCCUCUCUCUCUGAUUGUUCACUUUAACACAGCGGCACAUUCAGAACUCAGUAUUAGAGUCCAGGGUCACCCCUGUGGUCUGCAGCCAAAGGAAAACACAAAGGAGCAUGGCUUCCUUGCAAGUGUCAGGCCCAAGUGUCUUAAAGAACGAGGAGACACAACAGACUGGAAAGGAGACCCAGGACGAUAAAUUCUCAAUAAAAUAUAUUCUUUUAAAAAAA
rnacentral:lncRNA from 1 species